rnacentral:misc_RNA from 1 species
GAUGAAGAACGUAGCGAAAUGCGAUAAGUAGUGUGAAUUGCAGAAUUCAGUGAAUCAUCGAAUCUUUGAACGCACAUUGCGCCCCUUGGUAUUCCAUGGGGCAUGCCUGUUCGAGCGUCAUUUGUACCCUCAAGCUUUGCUUGGUGUUGGGUGUUUGUCCCGCGUUGCGCGUGGACUCGCCUUAAAGCGAUUGGCAGCCGGCAUAUUGGCCUUGGAGCGCAGCACAUUUUGCGCUUCUAGUCAUGAAUGUUGGCGUCCAUUAAGCCUAUACAUUUGCUCUUGACCUCGGAUCAGGUAGGGAUACCCGCUGAACUUAAGCAUAUCAAUAGCGGAGGA